rnacentral:misc_RNA from 1 species
AACGAGGCCGACCUGCGGCUGAGUUACCUGCGGAAGGAUCAUUACCGAGUUUACAACUCCCAAACCCCUGUGAACAUACCUAUACGUUGCCUCGGCGGAUCAGCCCGCGCCCUGUAAAAAGGGACGGCCCGCCCGAGGACCCUAAACUCUGUUUUUAGUGGAACUUCUGAGUAAAACAAACAAAUAAAUCAAAACUUUUAACAACGGAUCU